rnacentral:rRNA from 1 species
AUUGAACGCUGGCGGCAUGCUUUACACAUGCAAGUCGAACGGCAGCGCGGUCUUCUUCCUGGCGGCUCGUGUCGCACAGGUGAGUAAUACAUCUGAACAUGCCCCGUAGUGCUUGGUAACCCCUCGAAAGCCGUAUUACUACCACCUACUACCUGCUGGUGCUACCUGGUGGCCGAAGGACCUCUCGGUCUUUUGGGGACCGAUGUCGGAUUUGCUAGUUUGUUGGGUAAAGACUUACCUAGCCGACCAUCCGUAGCUGGUCUGAGAGGACGACCAGCCACACUGGGACUGAGACACGGCCAAGACGACUAAGGGAGGCAGCAGUGGGGAAUGUUGGACAAAGGGGGCAACUCUGAUCCAGCCAGGCCGCGUGCGGGAAGAAGGCCUUCGGGUUGUAAACAGCUUUUGUGCGGGAAGAAAUGCUCUGGGCUAAUACCACGGGGGGAUGACGGUAACGGAAGAAGAAGCACCGGCUAACUACGUG